rnacentral:rRNA from 1 species
UACGGAGGGGGCUAGCGUUGUUCGGAAUUACUGGGCGUAAAGCGCGCGUAGGCGGACCUGCAAGUCGGGGGUGAAAGCCCGAGGCUCAACCUCGGAACUGCCUUCGAUACUGCGGGUCUCGAGUCCGGGAGAGGUGAGUGGAAUUCCUAGUGUAGAGGUGAAAUUCGUAGAUAUUAGGAAGAACACCAGUGGCCGAAGGCGGCUCAGCUGGCCCGGUACUGAC